rnacentral:rRNA from 1 species
CCUACGGGAGGCAGCAGUGAGGAAUAUUGGUCAAUGGUCGGGAGACUGAACCAGCCAAGCCGCGUGAGGGAGGAAGGUACAGAGUAUCGUAAACCUCUUUUGUCAGGGCACAAAGGCGGGGACGUGUCCCCGGCUGAGUGUACCUGAAGAAAAAGCAUCGGCUAACUCCGUGCCAGCAGCCGCGGUAAUACGGAGGAUGCGAGCGUUAUCCGGAUUUAUUGGGUUUAAAGGGUGCGCAGGCGGUCUGUUAAGUCAGCGGUCAAAGCCCGGGGCUCAACCCCGGCCCGCCGUUGAAACUGGCAGUCUCGAGUUGGAGAGAAGUAUGCGGAAUGCGCGGUGUAGCGGUGAAAUGCAUAGAUAUCGCGCAGAACUCCGAUUGCGAAGGAAGCAUGCCGGCUCCACACUGACGCUGAGGCACGAAAGCGUGGGUAUCGAACAGGAUUAGAUACCCCGGUAGUC